ACCCAGCUGAUGAGUCCCAAAUAAGACGAAACGCACUUACCGGAU
rnacentral:hammerhead_ribozyme from 1 species